GACGAACCGUGCAAACGUUGUUCGGAAUCACUGGGCUUAAAGGGCGCGUAGGCGGGCCAGCAAGUCCGGGGUGAAAUCUUUCGGCUCAACCGGAAAAGUGCCUUGGAUACUGCUGGUCUCGAGCGAGGUAGGGGCAGGCGGAACUUCCGGUGGAGCGGUGAAAUGCGUAGAUAUCAAGAGGAACACCGGCGGCGAAGGCGGGUUGCUGGGCCGACACUGACGCUGAAGCGCGAAAGCCAGGGGAGCGAACGGG
rnacentral:rRNA from 1 species